ACACGUGAAAUCCUGUCUGAAUAUGGGGGGACCAUCCUCCAAGGCUAAAUACUCCUGAAAGACCGAUAGUGAACAAGUACUGUGAAGGAAAGGUGAAAAGCACUUCGAAUAGAAGGGUGAAAGAGAACCUGAAACCGUACGCCUACAAGCGGUCGGAGCAGUUAUAUACUGUGACGGCGUGCCUUUUGCAUAAUGAGCCUACGAGUUAAUUUUACUAGCGAGGUUAAGGUAUUAAGUACUGGAGCCGGAGCGAAAGCGAGUCUGAAUAGGGCAAAUAGUUAGUGGGAUUAGACGCGAAACCUUGUGAUCUACCCAUGGGCAGGUUGAAGCACUGGUAACACAGUGUGGAGGACCGAACCGGUUGACGUUGAAAAGUCUUCGGAUGACCUGUGGGUAGGGGUGAAAGGCCAAUCAAACUGGGAGAUAGCUCGUACUCCCCGAAAUGCAUUUAGGUGCAGCGUUGAUUUAGUUUAUUAGAGGUAGAGCUACUGAUUGGAUGCGGGGGUUUCACCGCCUACCAAUUCCUGACAAACUCCGAAUGCUAAUAAAUAUUGAUCAGCAGUGAGGGCAUGGGUGCUAAGGUCCAUGUCCGAGAGGGAAAGAACCCAGACCAACAGUUAAGGUCCCCAAAUAUAUGCUAAGUUGAAGCAACGCGGUUGAACUGCCUAGACAGCUAGGAUGUUGGCUUGGAAGCAGCCAUUCAUUUAAAGAGUGCGUAACAGCUCACUAGUCGAGCGGUUCGGCAUGGAUAAUAAUCGGGCAUAAGCAUAUUACCGAAGCUAUGGCAACGAAAGUUGGGUAGGGGAGCAUUCUAUCGGCGCAGAAGCAUCACUGUGAGGUGAUGUGGAGCUUAUAGAAAAGAAAAUGUAGGCAUAAGUAACGAUAAAGCAGGUGAGAAACCUGCUCACCGAAAGACUAAGGGUUCCUCAGCCAUGCUAAUCAGCUGAGGGUUAGUCGGGGCCUAACGCGAACCCGAGAGGGGAAGUGGAUGGACAAUGGGUUAAUAUUCCCAUACUUGCUCACGAAUAAAGGGGACGGUUCAGCUAGACUACUGGAGACUGACGGAAUAGUCAAGACCUAGCCUACGGGCGAAGUUGUUGUAGAGUAACUGGAUCCAAGAAAAGCCGAAGUGAAGCAACCCGUACCAUAAACCGACACAGGUAGUCGAGGAGAGAAUCCUAAGGUGCUCGAGUGAGUCGUGGCUAAGGAACUAGGCAAAAUAGUCUCGUAACUUCGGAAUAAGAGACGCCAACAGCGAUGUUGGCCGCAGUGAAGAGGCCCAGGCGACUGUUUAUCAAAAACACAGGACUCUGCUAAAUCGAAAGAUGCUGUAUAGGGUCUGACACCUGCCCGGUGCUGGAAGGUUAAGGAAGGUGCUUAGCGUAAGCGAAGGCAUUGACUGAAGCCCCAGUAAACGGCGGCCGUAACUAUAACGGUCCUAAGGUAGCGAAAUUCCUUGUCGGGUAAGUUCCGACCUGCACGAAUGGUGUAACGAUCUGGGCACUGUCUCAACCGCGAGCUCGGUGAAAUUGUAGUAUCGGUGAAGAUGCCGAUUACCCGCAACGGGACGAAAAGACCCCGUGAACCUUUACUAUAGCUUUGCAUUGGAUUUGGGUAACAAAUGUGUAGGAUAGGCCGGAGACUGAGAAGCGGGUACGCCAGUAUUCGUGGAGUCGCCGUUGAAAUACGGCCCUUUUGUUAUUUGGGUUCUAACUCGCAGAUGCGAGGACAUUGCAUGGUGGGUAGUUUGACUGGGGUGGUCGCCUCCAAAAG
rnacentral:rRNA from 1 species